GCAUGUGUGCAGGCUGCUGCACUUUAAAUUAAUUAGCCCACUUCAAGCCCAUGAAUGAAGCACCGUUCCAGCACUUGCAGCUUUCGUGUGCACGGCCCUUUGCUGCCAGUAAAAUAAUAUCCAGCCCAUGUCGUGUUGUUUUCUUUCAGCCCUAAUGAGUAUUGCUGCUACUCAAUUUGAAGGCAAAUUAAACUUCUUUGUGCUGCUGGACGUAAUUGUUGAAGCCC
rnacentral:lncRNA from 1 species